CCUACGGGAGGCAGCAGUAGGGAAUAUUGCUCAAUGGGGGAAACCCUGAAGCAGCAACGCCGCGUGGAGGAUGAAGGUUUUCGGAUUGUAAACUCCUUUUGUUAGAGAAGAUAAUGACGGUAUCUAACGAAUAAGCACCGGCUAACUCCGUGCCAGCAGCCGCGGUAAUACGGAGGGUGCAAGCGUUACUCGGAAUCACUGGGCGUAAAGGGGGGGUUGGGGGGAUAGCAAGUCAGAUGUGAAAUCCUAGGGCUUAACCAUAGAACUGCAUUUGAAAAUGUUAUUCUAGAGUAUGGGAGAGGUAGGUGGAAUUCUUGGUGGAGGGGGAAAAUGCGUAGAGAUCAAGAAGAA
rnacentral:rRNA from 1 species